rnacentral:rRNA from 1 species
GAUGAACGCUAGCGGAAGGCUUAAUACAUGCAAGUCGAGCGGUAUAGUGACUUCGGUUGCUAGAGAGCGGCGCACGGGUGAGUAACGCGUACAUGACCUACCUCUAAGAUCGGGAUAGCCCUGGGAAACUGGGAUUAAUACCGGAUGUGAUAAUAAGUAUAAGGAUUUAUUAUUAAAGUUGAGGCGCUUAGAGAUGGGUGUGCGUCUGAUUAGCUAGUUGGUAGGGUAAGGGCCUACCAAGGCGACGAUCCGUAGCGGGUCUGAGAGGACGGCCCGCCACACUGGGACUGAGACACGGCCCAGACUCCUACGGGAGGCAGCAGUAAGGAAUAUUGGUCAAUGGAGGAACUCUGAACCAGCCAUCCCGCGUGAAGGAUGAAGGGGCUCUGCCUUGUAAACUUCUUUUGCAUGGGACGAAAAAACUUAUUAUUAAGGACUGACGGUACCAUGAGAAUAAGCACCGGCUAACUCCGUGCCAGCAGCCGCGGUAAGUCUCGCGUGA